GUGGGGAUACUGGAAUUUAAAAAUUUUAUUUUAAAAUAAUUAUGAUAGAAUUUUGAAUUAAAGUAUGCUAUGUUUAUAUCAGGUGUUGACCCCUGGAUUAAUUUUGAUGAUAACAAAAGUAUUUGAGUAUAAAUUGUUAAAUUACUAAUAUUAUUUAUGAGGAUGUGCAGUUUCAAAUUUCAAAUGCUCAUAAUUUUUAAGUAUUUUUUGAUAACUAAAUAAAGAACC
rnacentral:lncRNA from 1 species